GAUGAAGAACGCAGCGAAAUGCGAUAAGUAAUGUGAAUUGCAGAAUUCAGUGAAUCAUCGAAUCUUUGAACGCACAUUGCGCCCGCCAGUAUUCUGGCGGGCAUGCCUGUUCGAGCGUCAUUACAACCCUCAGGCCCCCGGGCCUGGCGUUGGGGAUCGGCGGAAGCCCCCUGCGGGCACAACGCCGUCCCCCAAAUACAGUGGCGGUCCCGCCGCAGCUUCCAUUGCGUAGUAGCUAACACCUCGCAGCUGGAGAGCGGCGCGGCCACGCCGUAAAACACCCAACUUCUGAAUGUUGACCUCGAAUCAGGUAGGAAUACCCGCUGAACUUAAGCAUAUCAAUAAGCGGAGGA
rnacentral:misc_RNA from 1 species